rnacentral:tRNA from 1 species
GCCUUAGUGGCGGAACUGGUAGACGCGCACGACUCAAAAUCGUGUACCGUAAGGUGUGCCGGUUCGAUUCCGGCCUGAGGUAC